AUUACCCCAAUAGCUAGCUCAACCAUAAAAAAUUAACAAACGACAUUAAUUAGCCCCCAAUAAACUAAUACACUAAAACAAACCAUUUUUCCACCCAAGUACGGGAGACAGAAAAGGACCCCCUGACGCAAUAGAGAAAGUACCGCAAGGGAAAGCUGAAAGAGAAUUGAAACAACCCAGUUAAGGAUAUAAAAGCAGAGGCUAAACCUCGUACCUUUUGCAUCAUGAUUUAGCAAGUAUAGGAUAAGCAAAGAGCCCUUUAUGUUUAUAACCCCGAAACUUGGCGAGCUACUCCAAGACAGCCUAUUAUAGGGCAAACCCGUCUCUGUGGCAAAAGAGUGGGAAGAGCUUUGAGUAGAGGUGAUAGACCUACCGAGCCUAGUUAUAGCUGGUUGCCUGAAAAAUGAAUAGAAGUUCAGCCCUUUAAUCCCUCCACCCAAGAAAGGUCCCACCUUACAGACGGAUCAGAGUGAAUUAAAGGAGUUAUUCGAAAGAGGGACAGCUCUUUUGAAGAAAGAUACAACUUUUCAAGAAGGUUAAAGAUCAAAAGACCCAAGGAACUACACCCAAGUGGGCCUAAAAGCAGCCACCCCUUAAGAAAGCGUUAAAGCUCAAGUGUUUAUAGCCUUUAAUUUCGACUAAUAUAUCUUUUACCCCUUAAGAAUAUCAGGCCCCUCCAUGCCUCCAUGGAUAAGAUAAUGCUAAAAUGAGUAAUAAGAGAGUCAGACUCUCUCUCAAAUGCACCCGCGUAAGUCAGAACGAACCCCCACUGAAAAUUAACGCCCCCAAUGCCCCAGAGGGUAAUGAAAUGUAAACACAAAACAGGAAAAACCUCCAACCCAUAAGCGUUAACCCCACACAGGUGUGCCCUGAGAAAGACAAAAAGAGAAAGAAGGAACUCGGCAAACAAUGGCCUCGCCUGUUUACCAAAAACAUCGCCUCUUGCCCCAAUAGUAUAAGAGGUCCCGCCUGCCCUGUGACGAAAGUUUAACGGCCGCGGUAUUUUGACCGUGCGAAGGUAGCGUAAUCACUUGUCUUUUAAAUAGAGACCUGUAUGAAUGGCAUAACGAGGGCUAAGCUGUCUCCUUUUUCUAGUCAAUGAAAUUGAUUUACCCGUGCAGAAGCGGGUAUAAUAACAUAAGACGAGAAGACCCUAUGGAGCUUAAGACACCAAAACAGACCACGUUAAACCCCCUAGGAGAGUAGGAAUAAACCAAAUGAUGCCUGUUUACUUGUCUUUGGUUGGGGCGACCGCGGAGAAAUAACCAACCCCCACGUGGAACGGGUAAUCAACCCUAAAGCCAGAGCCACAGCUCUAACGAACAGAAGAUCUGACCAGCAAGAUCCGGCAUAGCCGAUCAACGGACCCAGUUACCCUAGGGAUAACAGCGCAAUCCCCUUUUAGAGCCCAUAUCGACAAGGGGGUUUACGACCUCGAUGUUGGAUCAGGACAUCCUAAUGGUGCAGCCGCUAUUAAGGGUUCGUUUGUUCAACGAUUAAAGUCCUACGUGAUCUGAGUUCAGACCGGAGAAAUCCAGGUCAGUUUCUAUCUAUGAGUGCACUCUUUUCUAGUACGAAAGGACCGGAAAGAGGGGGCCCAUGCUUUAAGUAAGCCCCACCCCUACCUAGUGAGCCCCACUAAAAAAGGUAAAGGGGGUUGCCCUUAAGCCCGAGAAAAAGGCAA
rnacentral:rRNA from 1 species